rnacentral:rRNA from 1 species
AGCGAACGCUGGCGGCAGGCCUAACACAUGCAAGUCGAACGAACCUUUCGGGAUUAGUGGCGGACGGGGGGGUAACACGUGAGAACGUGCCUUUAGGGUGGGAAUAACUCAGGGAAACUUGUGCUAAUACCGCAAGUGCCCUUCGGGGGAAAGAUUAAUCGCCUUUAGAGCGGCCCGCGUCUGAUUAGCUAGUUGGUUGAGGGAAUGGCACACCAAGGCGACGAUGUGUAGCUGGUCUGGGAGGAUGAGCAGCCACAUUGGGACUGAGACACGGCCCAAACUUGGAGGCGACGAAGCAGUGGGGUAUCUUGCCCAAUGAGAUAAGGCAUGACGGUGCCAGGCAGGGCGAAGUAUUAAGGGCUUAGGAUUGUCAAAUUCUUUCACCCGGGCCGAUAAUGACGGUACCCGGAGAAGAAGCACCGGAUAACUUUGUG